GCCCUCUUAGUUCAGUGGCAGAACGUCCGCCUCGUAAGCGAAAGGUCACCAGUUCAAUUCUGGUAGUGGGCA